rnacentral:rRNA from 1 species
GACGAACGCUGGCGGCGUGCCUAAUACAUGCAAGUAGAACGCUGAAGGCGGAGCUUGCUUCUCUGGAUGAGUUGCGAACGGGUGAGUAACGCGUAGGUAACCUGCCUGGUAGCGGGGGAUAACUAUUGGAAACGAUAGCUAAUACCGCAUAAGAUUGACUAUUGCAUGAUAGUCAGUGGAAAGGUGCAGUUGCUUCUCUACCAGAUGGACCUGCGGUGGAUUAGCUAGUUGGUGGGGUAUCGGCUCACCAAGGCGACGAUACAUAGACGGCCUGAGAGGGGGAUCGGCCACCCUGGGAAUGAGACACGGCCCAGCCUCCCACCGGAGGCAGCAGGAGGGAAGCUUCGGCAAUGGACGGAAGUCUGACCGAGCAACGCCGGGGGAGUGAAGAAGGGUUUCGGAUCGUAAAGCUCGGUUGUACGAGAAGAACGAGUGUGAGAGUGGAAAGUUCACACUGUGACGGUAGCUUAACAGAAAGGGACGGCUAACUACGUG